GGCUAGCAGGCAGCAUUGUGCAAGAAGAGCCAGACCUUCUAGAAUGGUUCUUGUUACAAGUUGGCCUGUUGUACUGAGGUUUAGAGCUGACUUUUGCAAGCAGGCCCCAUGCUUGGCACGAAUUUCUGAUUCAGGUUAUAAAUUGGGAUAUGAGUGGAGUGACAUGGAGCAAAAGAUGAGAGGGAAAAAAUGAAAUAAGAACAUCAAGAGGCAAAGAAGAAAAAACCCAACCAAAAAACAGGGUUCAUCUUCACAGUUCACUGAAAUAAAAAGACAAACAACCAAAAAAAACCCUUUUUUCUCCUCCAAAGAGUAAUGUCAAAUGGUUCUGUUUCCAGAGAGAAUUUAUAGAAGAACUCAAAAAAGACUUUAAAAAUCAAAUGAGAGACAUUGAAGAAAAACUAAAACUAACUAAACAAAUAUCACUCAAGAAAAACAAAAUAUUGAAAAAAUUUAACCAGCUAGAAGAGGAGAUACAGAGUCUUAAAGAUGAAAAUAAUUCUUUUGAAAAUUAGAAUUGGGCAAAGGAAGCCCAUGAAGCUAUAAGAGACCAAGAAAUAACAAAACAAUGUAAAAAUGGGGAAAAAAUAGGACAGAAAGUGUAAAAAAAUGAAAAAAUAGGACAGAAUGUGAAAUAUAUUAUAAGAAAAACAAUGGAUCUGGAGAACAGAUCAAGAAGAAAAAAAAUCUAAAAAUAAUUGCAUGACCUGAAAAUUGUGGGAAAAAAAAAGAACCAUGACACAAUAAUGCUAGAAAUAAUUCAAGAAAAUUGUUCUGUAGAGAUAGAAUAUGAUGAGAAAGUAAAAAUAAUAAUAAAAAACCAAUCAUCACUACCUCAAAGAAAUCCUUUGUGGAAAACACAUAGGAAUAUUAUUGCCAAAUUUUGAAACCCCCAGAUCAAAGUAAAAAUUUUGCAAGAAAUAAGAAAAAAAAACAAUUGAAAUACACUGGAGCUACAACUAGAAUUGCACAGGACUUACAAGUAGCCACAAUAAGAGAUAGCGGGUCCACAAAUCAUAUACACUGGCAAUUAAAAGAGCUAAGCCUGUGGUCAAAAAUAUUAUAUUCAGAAAAAUUAUACAUAAUAUUAAAUGAAAACAAAAAUGACAUCUAAUGAACUUACAGAUUUUCAGGACUUUUUUCAACCAAACCCAAACUCAGUAGAAAAUUUAACAUAUAAGAACUGAUAUCAAGAUCAAUUUCAAGGAACUUAAUAUAGACAAGUUGUUUUUUACAUGGAAAUGCAUACCGUAUAUUUAAGAUUGACAUAAGCAAUUGGAUAACUCAAAAAAAAAUUGGGACAGAGUUGAGUAUGAUCUGACUCUAAAAAGCAAAACUGCCUAGGAAAAGAUAAAAAUAGUAAUUAUGUUAUACAAAUGAGGUGCAGAGGAAGAAUAGACAGAGAGACAUUAGAGAAGGGAGGAAGGCUCAUAGCUCUGACAACCUAUUUAACAAUGUAUUCUCAUCAGAAAUGAGUUAAAUAGAUAACCUUACACAUAUAUCAUGAAGGGUAUAACACCCUCCAAAAUCUACCAAAAAAUAAGUGGGGAAGAGAUGGGUAGAUGGGGCAGCGAAGAGUGAGGGAAGAAAACAAGGGAAGAAUCCAUGCCUGGGGGAAGGUUAAGAUAAAUUAAGGAGCAGAAUUAAAGCAGAAGAAUUAGCAGGGACAGGAAAGAAGAGAUAUACAUGAACAUUAUAACAAGGAUCAGAAGUAGAAAUUAUUAGAAAAAAUGUAUUGAUCUUAAAUAAACUCAAACUUAAAGAUUCAAUCAAAAGAGAAAUAAACAUGUGUCAGCCAUAAUAUUAUUUUAGGGGAAUGUUUACAUAU